rnacentral:rRNA from 1 species
AGAGAGAGACAUGCGCGCAUAUCAAUAAGCGGAGGAAAAGAAACUAACAAGGAUUCCCUUAGUAACGGCGAGUGAAGCGGGAAGAGCUCAAAUUUGAAAUCUUCAAGGUUUUACCUUGACGAAUUGUAGUUUAAAGAAGUGUUUUCUGCUGAAGUUUUGGUAAAAGUUCUUUGGAAUAGGACAUCAUAGAGGGUGAGAAUCCCGUAUUUGACCAUUAUUUUCAGCUUUGUGAUACACUUUCAAAGAGUCGGAUUGUUUGGGAAUGCAGUCCAAAAUGGGUGGUAAAUUUCAUCUAAAGCUAAAUAUUGGCGAGAGACCGAUAGCGAACAAGUACCGUGAGGGAAAGAUGAAAAGAACUUUGAAAAGAGAGUUAAACAGUACGUGAAAUUGUCAAAAGGGAAGCGUUUGACACCAGUGUUGUUUUCUCGAAAAUCAAUUAAAAAUGGCUCGAUUUUGUAUUGCUUGAGACCUUAAAAGCUCACUGUACAUUUUCCGUGUCUUUUUUAAUGCACUUUUCGUUUAACAAGUCAACAUCAGUUUCUUUUGUUGUAAAAGGGUCAUUGGAAGGUGGCUUUCUUUUCGGAGAAAGUGUUUAUAGCCUUUGGCCUCUGCAAUCGGAAGAGACUGAGGUCUGCAGCGUAGACUCUUCGGGGUUAGAUACAUUUGUGCUAAGUUAUAGCUUUUUAUAGACAACUUGUUGACUAUAAUUAGUCUUGUAGCUUACUCGCUUAUGCUAUUUUACCUACGCUUAGGAUGUUGAGUCGUAGAGCACGCAG